GCACAAGCGGUGGAUGAUGUGGAUUAAUUCGAUGCAACGACGAAAACCUUACCUACCCUUGACAUGCCAGGAACCCUGCUGAGAGGUGGGGGUGCUCGAAAGAGAGCCUGGACACAGGUGCUGCAUGGCUGUCGUCAGCUCGUGUCGUGAGAUGUUGGGUUAAGUCCCGCAACGAGCGCAACCCUUGUCAUUAGUUGCCAUCAUUCAGUUGGGCACUCUAAUGAGACUGCCGGUGACAAACCGGAGGAAGGUGGGGAUGACGUCAAGUCCUCAUGGCCCUUAUGGGUAGGGCUUCACACGUCAUACAAUGGUCGGUACAGAGGGUUGCCAAGCCGCGAGGUGGAGCCAAUCCCAGAAAGCCGAUCGUAGUCCGGAUUGUUCUCUGCAACUCGAGAGCAUGAAGUCGGAAUCGCUAGUAAUCGCGGAUCAGCACGUCGCGGUGAAUACGUUCCCGGGCCUU
rnacentral:rRNA from 1 species